rnacentral:snRNA from 1 species
GUUUUCUUCAGGAGCAUGUAAAGUUGAGACAAGACAGAGAUUAGUGUGAUCCUAUGCAAGGAUGACAGACAACAUUGUGAAAUGUUUCAUAUUUUU